ACACCGUUGGUGAAACGGUAUCAUGCGUCGUUGCCAUCGACGCGGCAAGGGUUCGACUCCCUUACGGUGUA
rfam:Kwoniella heveanensis BCC8398 unplaced genomic scaffold supercont1.14, whole genome shotgun sequence.